GCCUACAUAACUCAGUAGUUAGAGUACUGUUGCUUUUAACGGGAGUCAUUGGUUCAAAUCCAAUAGUAGGUA